UACGUAGGCAGCGAGCGUUGUUCGGAAUUACUGGGCGUAAAGAGUGUGUAGGCGGUGCUCUAAGUUCGGUGUGAAAUCUCCUGGCUCAACUGGGAGGGUGCGCCGGAAACUGGAGUGCUUGAGCGUGGGAGAGGAAAGCGGAAUUCCUGGUGUAGCGGUGAAAUGCGUAGAUAUCGGGAGGAACACCGGUGGCGAAGGCGGUUCUCUGGGCCUGUACUGACGCUGAGGAGCGAAAGCGUGGGGAGCAAACAGG
rnacentral:rRNA from 1 species